UAGGGGUAUCCGCAUAGCGUGCGCUUGGCGCGCAUGGAUUCAUAGCUUGCUCUUAUGAAGUUAUCGGCGGACGGGUGAGUAACACGUGGGUAACCUGCCCAUAAGACUGGGAUAACUCCGGGAAACCGGGGCUAAUACCGGAUAACAUUUUGAACCGCAUGGUUCGAAAUUGAAAGGCGGCUUCGGCUGUCACUUAUGGAUGGACCCGCGUCGCAUUAGCUAGUUGGUGAGGUAACGGCUCACCAAGGCAACGAUGCGUAGCCCACCUGAGAGGGUGAUCGGCCACACUGGGGACUGAGACACGGCCCAGACUCCUACGGGAGGCAGCAGUAGGGAAUCUUCCGCAAUGGACGAAAGUCUGACGGAGCAACGCCGCGUGAGUGAUGAAGGCUUUCGGGUCGUAAAACUCUGUUGUUAGGGAAGAACAAGUGCUAGUUGAAUAAGCUGGCACCUUGACGGUACCUAACCAGAAAGCCACGGCUAACUACGUGCCAGCAGCCGCGGUAAUACGUAGGUGGCAAGCGUUAUCCGGAAUUAUUGGGCGUAAAGCGCGCGCAGGUGGUUUCUUAAGUCUGAUGUGAAAGCCCACGGCUCAACCGUGGAGGGUCAUUGGAAACUGGGAGACUUGAGUGCAGAAGAGGAAAGUGGAAUUCCAUGUGUAGCGGUGAAAUGCGUAGAGAUAUGGAGGAACACCAGUGGCGAAAGCGACUUUCUGGUCUGUAACUGACACUGAGCGCGAAAGCGUGGGGAGCAAACAGGAUUAGAUACCCUGGUAGUCCACGCCGUAAACGAUGAGUGCUAAGUGUUAGAGGGUUUCCGCCCUUUAGUGCUGAAGUUAACGCAUAAGCACUCCGCCUGGGGAGUACGGCCGCAAGCUGAAACUCAAGGAAUUGACGGGGCCCGCACAAGCGUGAGCAUGUGUUUAAUUUCGAGCAACGCGAGAACUUACCAGUCUUGACAUCUCUGACAACCCUACAAAAUAAGGCGUGCUCCUCGGAGCAAAAAUGAACAAGUGAGUGCAGGUGGUCGUCAGCUCCCUGUCUUGGGAUGUUAGGUAGUUCCGCACAGGCCACCUUGAUCUAUGGCUCACAUACAUUGGACGUCUACGUGGACGUGGCGUGCAACCACAGAAGGGAUGUUCAAUAUAUGCCUUAAUGGUACGUUCAUGCAGUCAAGGUCAAGCCAGUGACACCCUAC
rnacentral:rRNA from 1 species